rnacentral:rRNA from 1 species
AUUGAACGCUGGCGGUAUGCUUAACACAUGCAAGUCGGACGGCAGCAUGAUGUGUAGCAAUACACAUUGAUGGCGAGUGGCGGACGGGUGAGAAACGCGUAGGAACCUGCCUUUCAGAGGGGGACAACUAGAGGAAACUCUAGCUAAUACCGCAUAAAGUCGAGAGACCAAAGGCUGGGUAGAGAUACCUGGCGCUGAGAGAGGGGCCUGCGUCCGAUUAGCUAGUUGGUAGGGUAAAGGCCUACCAAGGCGAUGAUCGGUAGCUGUUCUGAAGGGAUAAUCGGCCACACUGGGACUGAGACACGGCCCAGACUCCUACGGGAGGCAGCAGUGGGGAAUAUUGGACAAUGGGGGCAACCCUGAUCCAGCAAUACCGCGUGUGUGAAGAAGGCCUUCGGGUUGUAAAGCACUUUAGGUUGGGAAGAAGGCGUGUAGUUUAAGAGAUGACACGCUUGACGGUACCGACAGAAUAAGCACCGGCUAACUCUGUGCCAGCAGCCGCAGUAACAC